UCUCUGUUAGUAUAUCGGUUAGUACACGCGCCUGUCAUAUAUAUUGCUUAAAGCAUCCUACGGCCGCGCGAAAGCUGGGUUCGACUCCCAGACAGAGAG